rnacentral:rRNA from 1 species
GAUGAACGCUGGCGGCGUGCCUAAUACAUGCAAGUCGAGCGAACAGAUGAGAAGCUUGCUUCUCUGAUGUUAGCGGCGGACGGGUGAGUAACACGUGGGUAACCUACCUAUAAGACUGGGAUAACUCCGGGAAACCGGGGCUAAUACCCGAUAAUAUUUUGAACCGCAUGGUUCAAUAGUGAAAGACGGUUUCGGCUGUCACUUAUAGAUGGACCCGCGCCGUAUUAGCUAGUUGGUAAGGUAACGGCUUACCAAGGCGACGAUACGUAGCCGACCUGAGAGGGGGAUCGGCCACACUGGAACUGAGACACGGUCCAGACUCCUACGGGAGGCAGCAGUAGGGAAUCUUCCGCAAUGGGCGAAAGCCUAACGGAGCAACGCCGCGUGAGUGAUGAAGGUCUUCGGAUCGUAAAACUCUGUUGUUAGGGAAGAACAAAUUUGUUAGUAACUGAACAAGUCUUGACGGUACCUAACCAGAAAGCCACGGCUAACUACGUGCCAGCCGCCGCCGUAA